UAGGGAAUCUUCGGCAAUGGACGAAAGUCUGACCGAGCAACGCCGCGUGAGUGAAGAAGGUUUUCGGAUCGUAAAACUCUGUUGUUAGAGAAGAACAAGGACGUUAGUAACUGAACGUCCCCUGACGGUAUCUAACCAGAAAGCCACGGCUAACUACGUGCCAGCAGCCGCGGUAAUACGUAGGUGGCAAGCGUUGUCCGGAUUUAUUGGGCGUAAAGCGAGCGCAGGCGGUUUCUUAAGUCUGAUGUGAAAGCCCCCGGCUCAACCGGGGAGGGUCAUUGGAAACUGGGAUACUUGAGUGCAGAAGAGGAGAGUGGAAUUCCAUGUGUAGCGGUGAAAUGCGUAGAUAUAUGGAGGAACACCAGUGGCGAAGGCGGCUCUCUGGUCUGUAACUGACGCUGAGGCUCGAAAGCGUGGGGAGCAAACAGG
rnacentral:rRNA from 1 species